CGAACGCUGGCGGCGUGCCUAACACAUGCAAGUCGAGCGCGAACGGUCCCUUCGGGGACCUAGUAGAGCGGCGAACGGGUGAGUAACGCGUGGGUAACCUGCCCUCUGGUGGGGAAUAACUUCGGGAAACUGGGGCUAAUGCCGCAUCAGCUCCUUGUCCCUGCGGGGACUUGGAGGAAAGCAUGCCUCUGCUUCAAGCAUGCGCCAGAGGAGGGGCCCGCGUCCCAUUAGCUAGUUGGUGGGGUAAUGGCCUACCAAGGCGACGAUGGGUAGCCGGCCUGAGAGGGUGUCCGGCCACACUGGGACUGAGACACGGCCCAGACUCCUACGGGAGGCAGCAGUGGGGAAUAUUGCGCAAUGGGCGAAAGCCUGACGCAGCGACGCCGCGUGAGGGAUGACGGUCUUCGGAUUGUAAACCUCUGUCGUACGGGACGAACAACCUGGGGAUGAAUAAGCCUCAGGCCUGACGGUACCGUGCAAGAAAGCCCCGGCUAACUCC
rnacentral:rRNA from 1 species